rnacentral:pre_miRNA from 1 species
AAUAAACCAAUUUUUUAUUUUUUACUUUUAAUUUUUGACUCUUCGUCUUAUUUAAAAAAUUUUUACGAUUGAUAUUUUUGUUUUUAUUAGAUGAUAAAUCAUAAAUACUACUUUACGUGUGACUAAUUUUUUUCUAAUUUCCUGAAAAUUUUUAAAUAAGACAGAUAGUCAAACGUUAGACACGAAAACCGGAGAAUUCGUUUUUU